CAGAUUAGAGCUUGAUUUAUAAGCAUUUUAUUUACACUAAAAAGAUAAUUUUUAAUUUAUUCUGA
rnacentral:tRNA from 1 species